rnacentral:rRNA from 1 species
UGACUAUUAGACUACCGUGUACGUCCCAGUACCGUAAACAAUGUGCGUUAGGUAUGUCGGUAACCACGUGUUACUGAUGUGCCGAAGAGAAAUCGUGAAACGCACCACCUGGGAAGUACGGUCGCAAGGCUGAAGCUUAAAGGAAUUGCGGGGAGCACCACAACAGGUGGAGCCUGCGGUUUAAUUGGACUCAACGCCGGGAAGCUCACCGGAUAGGACAGCAGAAUGAUUGCCGGGCUGAAGACCCUGCAUGACUAGCUG